rnacentral:rRNA from 1 species
GACGGAGGAUGCAAGCGUUAUCCGGAAUGAUUGGGCGUAAAGCGUCUGCAGGUGGCAGUUCAAGUCUGCUGUCAAAGACCGGGGCUUAACUUCGGAAAGGCAGUGGAAACUGAACAGCUAGAGUAUGGUAGGGGCAGAGGGAAUUCCUGGUGUAGCGGUGAAAUGCGUAGAGAUCAGGAAGAACAUCGGUGGCGAAGGCGCUCUGGCUGGACCAUAACUGACACUCAGGGACGAAAGCUAGGGGAGCGAAUGGG